GCAUAUCAAUAAGCGGAGGAAAAGAAACUAACAAGGAUUCCCCUAGUAACGGCGAGUGAAGCGGGAUGAGCUCAAAUUUAAAAUCUGGCUGGUUUACUAGUCCGAAUUGUAGUUUAAAGAAGCGUUUUCGGUGGCAGCCUGGGUAUAAAUCCUUUGGAACAGGGUAUCAUAGAGGGUGAUAAUCCCGUCUGUUACUGGUUGUGAGGUUCGUUAUGAUACGCUUUCAAAGAGUCGAGUUGUUUGGGAUUGCAGCUCCAAAUGGGUGGUAAACAUCACCUAAGGCUAAAUAUUUGCGAGAGACCGAUAGCGAACAAGUACCGUGAGGGAAAGAUGAAAAGAACUUUGAAAAGAGAGUUAAAAAGUAUGUGAAAUUGUUGAAAGGGAAACGAUUGAAGUCAGUCGUGCAGUCAUCAAUUCAGCGGUUAACAUUUUAUGUUUCCGUGUAAUUUGGUGUCUGUUGGUUAGCAUCAAUUUUGAUUGUUAUAAAAAGGUUAAGGGGAUGUGGCUCCUUCGGGAGUGUUAUAACCCUUAGCGUAAUGUAACGAUUAGGAUUGAGGUUUGCAACGAAUACCUUUUAGGGCAGUUUCACCUGGCCUCUCGUGGAAUUAUAGAUAGUUAAGAGCAUGCUCUUACUGUCUAUGAUUCUACGAAAAGGUUGGAGUGUAAAACUAAUUCGUUAAGGAUGUUGACGUA
rnacentral:rRNA from 1 species